AUGGUGAACAGAUACCUCCCCUUCUUCCAAGGGGUGGUACUCAACCAGGCCACGCCGACCCACCAUCCUAUCCCCGGGAACGGGAACGUCGCCGUCAACUUCGACGAUGAGCCGCCGCUUCUGGAGGAGCUCGACAUCGACACGGGCCUCAUCUGGCGGAAGGCGGUCUCCAUCCUCCACCCGCUCCGCUCCGUGGACCCGUCCCUCCACGCGGAAGCCGAUCUCUCCGGCCCCGCGCUGAUCCUACUCUCCUUGGCGUUCUUCCAGCUCCUGGCCGGGAAGCUCCACUUCGGGAUCGUCCUCGGCUGGGCCACCGCCGCGUCAGUCUUCCUCUACUUCAUCUCCUCCAUGCUCCUCUCGCCGGGACGAGGAGGCCGUGGCGACCUCAGCCUCUACCGUUGCGCCAGCCUGCUCGGAUACUCCAUCAUGUCCAUGACCAUCUUCUCGGCGGUAUCCCUCUUCCUGCCGCGGGGCGGCGGGCUCAUCUUCGCGGUGGGCAUGGGGUUCGUGCUGUGGUCUACAAGGGUCUGCAGCAGGCUGCUGGUAGCUUGUAGCGGCCAUGGCGAUGGGCAUCGGGGGAUCGUUGCCUACCCGUGCUUCCUCGUCUUCAUGCUCUUCUCCCUGCUCGUCAUCUUUUGA
rnacentral:rRNA from 1 species